UACGGAGGGUGCAAGCGUUGUCCGGAUUUAUUGGGUUUAAAGGGUGCGUAGGCGGCUCUUUAAGUCAGUGGUGAAAUCCUACAGCUUAACUGUAGAACAGCCAUUGAUACUGAAGAGCUUGAGUACAGACGAGGUAGGCGGAAUUUAUGGUGUAGCGGUGAAAUGCAUAGAUAUCUGGAGGAAUACCGGUGGCGAAGGCGGCAUCCUGGACCAACACUGACACUGAGGAGCGAAAGCCAGGGGAGCAAACGGG
rnacentral:rRNA from 1 species